CCUACGGGAGGCAGCAGUGAGGUAAUUUUCCGCAAUGGGCGAAAGCCUGACGGAGCAAUACCGCGUGAGGGAUGAAGGUAUUUUGGUCUGUAAACCUCUUUUCUCAAGAAAGAAGUUCUGACGGUACUUGAGGAAUAAGCAUCGGCUAACUCCGUGCCAGCAGCCGCGGUAAUACGGGGGGUGCAAGCGUUAUCCGGAAUGAUUGGGCGUAAAGCGCCUGUAGGUUGUUUAUUAAGUCCGUUGUUAAAGCCUAGGGCUCAACCCUAGAAAAGCAAUGGAAACUAGUAGACUAGAGUAUGGCAGGGGUAGAGGGAAUUUCUAGUGUAGCGGUGAAAUGCGUAGAUAUUAGAAAGAACACCGGUGGCGAAAGCGCUCUACUGGACCAUUACUGACACUCAGAGGCGAAAGCUAGGGUAGCAAAAGGGAUUAGAUACCCCUGUAGUCCUAGCCGUAAACGAUGGAUACUAGAUGUUGUGCAUUAUGUACAGUAUCGUAGCUAACGCGUUAAGUAUCCCGCCUGGGGAGUACGCUCGCAAGGGUGAAACUUAAAUGAAUUGACGG
rnacentral:rRNA from 1 species